rnacentral:rRNA from 1 species
UACGAAGGGGGCUAGCGUUGCUCGGAAUCACUGGGCGUAAAGGGUGCGUAGGCGGGUCUUUAAGUCAGGGGUGAAAUCCUGGAGCUCAACUCCAGAACUGCCUUUGAUACUGAAGAUCUUGAGUUCGGGAGAGGUGAGUGGAACUGCGAGUGUAGAGGUGAAAUUCGUAGAUAUUCGCAAGAACACCAGUGGCGAAGGCGGCUCUCUGGGACGGUACUGACGCUGAGACGCGAAAGCGUGGGGAGCGAACGAGG